GCCAGGCAUGGCGGCCCACGCCUGUAAUCCUAGCAGCUCGGGAGGCUGAGGCAGGAGGAUUGGGAGUUCAAAGCCAGUCUCAGCAAAAGCAAGGUGCUAAUAAGCAACUCAAUGAGACCCUGUCUCCA
rnacentral:sRNA from 1 species